UGAGGUCCGUGAAUGAGAGUAAAAGUCUUUGUUUUAUGAAACAAGAAUGGUGUGUCUAGCUUCAAUCAUGAGGCACAGAUUCUAUCUAACAUGACCAUGGUAGGGUUAAGUUCUUUUAAUGAUAAGGCAAUUGGGUUCCACCAAAUAUGUAUUUAUUUCUGCAGUGAAUUCAAUUACAUAGUGUCAAUUGCUUACAAAACGACGUACCUGGGUGGUACGUUCCAACUGCCAUGCAGUGCAAAAAUCUUGUGGCGAACAAUUUUGUUUAGGGCCAUAUAAGGAAAAAAAUCUCAUUCAGCGGUAGUCUCUUUCAGUGGUAAGAUGUAGGUGGCUUUCAAGUGUAAACACAUUGAAAUUUAUUUAGCUCAAUUAAGAAACAAAUAAUAAAAGUCAAAUUGGUUCAUCUUUGCUUUAUGUUAAACGAUGGAGUAAUGCCACCCAACCAAUGCUUGGGUGCAUGUCCUGAUCUUUUAACAUCGAAAAUUCUUCUUAUAAAAGGUCUCGCUAUGCAGGCAGGUGGCCUACAUGUAGAUUUACAUUACAUAUAUGGAUGCUCAAUGUGACUUUUGUCACUGGACUCACAAAAGAGAGAGAUGCUAAUGUAACACAUAAUUCCCAUGCAAUAGGUGUAACUCAUAAUUCCUCGUGGGCGAUCUGUACCUUGUUUUUGUACCAAGUUGCAAUAUUAUGUGUCGUAGGAUACAUAGACAUCAUAUGGUAACCUGGCCUUUUUGUUAGAUUUAUCUGCGCUCGCCCUAGAUCUACUAUGGAUCAGGUUGGUCCGGUUAUCCAAUCGAGUAAAUUAUUGCCAUCCCCAACCAGAAAAAAAAGAACUUUUCGUUAUUGGCCACCGAGAUGGCUUUAUGAGCCCGAUCCAAAUAUUGAUGUUUGUAUGCAAAUUGUGACGCAAAUAUCUAGCAAAUAACAUUAUGUGGACUGUAUUUUCACAACCAUCUCAACGGUGACCACUAACCAGAAUUGUCCCACCCUAGGAACACCAACGUUUAUUUUUUCAAAAAAAAAAAAAAGCAUCCGCGAGGGUUAGGACUGGCGCCUAACGACACACAUGCGGUCGCAUAUAAAAUAGAAGGAAAUCUGGCUUCCACAUAGAAACUUCUAUGCCUGCGUCUCGGUUCAUGAAGUCGGGAAAAAUGGUUUGACUCAUCUUUCUUUCUUUUCUUUUUUUUUUUUUUUGGUAAAGGUCUGACUCAUCUAUUUGCGGUAGGCGGUAGGCGGUAGGCGUAUUUAUUUAUGCCUUCCGACGCUUAAGACGUCGGCAGUUCCCGAAGAACUUGUUAGAUUUAUGAAAAUAUUUUUUAUAAAAAUAAUUAUUUUUUAAAAAAUAAUUUUAAUAUAUUUGAUUGAUCAUGAAAAAAUAGUUUAUAUAUAAUGGUUGAAAUUUAAUUGAACAUCUACUUUUCCAAAAAAAAUAAUAUAAAAUAUCUAUAUAUUCUUAAUGGAUUUAAGAUCAUAUAUUUUUGCUCCUAACUUUUAUAUAAAUAAUAAUAUUAUAUUUAUAUAAAUAUACAUAUAAUAUUAAUAUAUUAUAAUAUAAUAUUUGAAUAUAAUAAUUUAUUAUAUUAAUAUAAUACUAAUAUAUAUUGAUAUUAUAUCAAUAUAAUAUUAAUAUUCUAAUAUAAUAAAUUUAUUAAUAUAAAUAUAAAUAUAAUAUUUAAUAUAAUAUUAUAUUGAUAUAUAUUAAUAUAUUAAUAUAGAUGAUAUUAAUAUCACUAUUUGGUACUUCAUCUUAACUAUCCAUUAAUAUUUUGUAAAAUUUCAAUCAUGAAUUUUAAAAGAAUAUUUUUGAAAAAAAAAAGAUCAUUAUUUCUUAUCCCGUGCUCCCAUAGAUUUCUAUUUUCCAUUGGUCAUCUCACAUAUCGAUAAUGUCUUGUCUGGCAUAUUGUUUUCUAUAGGUUUGUAGAAGCUUAAAUAUUUCUUGAGAUGAUGAUGAGCAUGAUAAAUUUGCAUGGUCCAAUUGGUAUAUUUACAUUUUUGCAAUUAUUUAAUAGAUGCUCAAGUUUCAUCCUGUUAAACAACCUGAGUUUGCAUAUGUAGUAUCUAGUAUAUGUGGAUCAUUGAUCAGGUCUGAUCUAAUACCACUUGCUAUAAUGUAGAAUCUCAUUCAGAAAAACCAGUGGGAAGAUAUUAUCUAAAUUUUCUGGUCAUGUAUACAUAACAAAGAUCUACCUAGUCGAAAGCAGAUGUGGGAUUAAACAUAUAUAUAUC
rnacentral:lncRNA from 1 species